ACUGUAAUAUUUUUUUUUUCUACUUAACUUCUUCGUCUCAUGAGAGAGACCACUUCCAACGAUAGGUUUUUAUUCUGCUUUUCUUUUUCUUAAGUUCUCCUUUUUUUUUCCGCCGCUCACUUUCGUACGUCGAAUCUAUACUUGUCUUCAUUACCAGUUUAGGAUUAGCUACUCCGAUUCUAGGGUUUUUAAAACCACUAGUUGUAUGUAACUAAUCUCUCUUUUUUUUUUGGAACAAUCACAAGAUCCUUUUCUCGGGUGGUCUUUGAAUUUUUUAUAUUGCUUGAAUUGUUGAAGCUUUUGAGAAUGUAAAGUCAUUAUAUAUGUCGAUGUGUUUGAAGCUGUUUGUGUUUCCUUCCUUAACAAUAGUUAGAUGAUCAGAUUUCAUCCGAAGAACCUCUGUUUCAGAGACAUUCGUCGACAUCUUGCUAUGCUUCUGAUCGGAUGGUCUUGGCGUCCUAGGUGGACCGGAUUGGUUUACCUAGGGUUCCGUUCUAAGCUCUGGUUCUCUGGACCGCUCCGCCGGGGUUUGGCGCUCGCCGCGUUUGGCUUGCUUUCACCGCUCUCUCUGCCUUCUCAGUCUGCCGCACCUUGUGGUCAAGGCUCGGUUCUGGCACCAAGAAAUCGAGCGGGGAGAUUCCUCCUAGUGCGGCAGUUUCACGGUUAUUCUGGUGAGAUAGUUAGAAAGUUUUGAUCGUUUUUGAUUGAUUGUUAUACUUGUGGAUUUUGCAGAGUUAGUGAUGAAAACAGAGAGAAAGGGAAGGAUGUUGUGACGGAGAAGGAUCUUGAGCAUCUGUUGCAUCUGCUUGAAGCUGGGAAUGCAGAUAUGGAAUGGCAAUCUAUGAUAUAAGUCUACUCCUAACAUGAGCUACCAGGCCUGGCGUCAUGAGCCUCAGGCAGGUCCUGUUGUUUAUCUAACUAUUCAGGAUGAUGUAGAAAAGACUUUCCAAGGAACAGACCAAACUGAGGAUCUGCCUGAGAAGGAAUCAAGUGGUGAUCAGACUGUGUAUCGUUGUAUAAAUGUCUUAGCCUGUUACCUUGAUUCUUAAACCAAGACAGAAACCUGCACAGUUUGUAAAAGUGUUAAACGGUCACUAGAUUAUUUAGUUUUUUUUAUUGAAUUAGUUAACAUGCUAACAUAAAUAUAUAAAAGAACUUUCGCCACUU